rnacentral:rRNA from 1 species
GAUGAACGCUGGCGGCGUGCCUAAUACAUGCAAGUCGAGCGAAUGGAUUAAGAGCUUGCUCUUAUGACGUUAGCGGCGGACGGGUGAGUAACGCGUGGGUAACCUGCCCAUAAGACUGGGAUAACUCCGGGAAACCGGGGCUAAUACCGGAUAACAUUUUGAACCGCAUGGCUCGAAAUUGAAAGGCGGCUUCGGCUGGCAAGUAUGGAUGGACACGCGUCGCAUUAGCUAGUUGGUGAGGUAACGGCUCACCAAGGCAACGAUGCGUAGCCGACCUGAGAGGGUGAUCGGCCACACUGGGACUGAGACACGGCCCAGACUCCUACGGGAGGCAGCAGUAGGGAAUCUUCCGCAAUGGACGAAAGUCUGACGGAGCAACGCCGCGUGAGUGAUGAAGGCUUUCGGGUCGUAAAACUCUGUUGUUAGGGAAGAACAAGUGCUAGUUGAAUAAGCUGGCACCUUGGCGGUACCUAACCAGAAAGCCACGGCUAACUACGUGCCAGCCGCCGCGGUAA